rnacentral:tRNA from 1 species
UUUAGAAAUCGUGAGGGUUCAAGUCCCUCUAUCCCCAAAAAACCAGGUCGC